AUCACCCAGUUAUCUUGGUAAAAUGCAGAUUCUGAUGCAGCAGGUCUGGGGUGAAGCCUAAGAUUUUGUGUUUAUACCAAGCUCCCAAGUGUUGCUGA
rnacentral:pre_miRNA from 1 species